rnacentral:rRNA from 1 species
AGUGAACGCUGGCGGUAGGCCUAACACAUGCAAGUCGAACGGCAGCACAGUAAGAGCUUGCUCUUACGGGUGGCGAGUGGCGGACGAGUGAGGAAUACAUCGGAAUCUACUUUUUCGUGGGGGAUAACGUAGGGAAACUUACGCUAAUACCGCAUACGACCUACGGGUGAAAGCAGGGGAUCUUCGGACCUUGCGCGAUUGAAUGAGCCGAUGUCGGAUUAGCUAGUUGGCGGGGUAAAGGCCCACCAAGGCGACGAUCCGUAGCUGGUCUGAGAUGAUGAUCAGACACACUGGAAGUGAGAAACGGUACAGACUCCUGGGGGAGGAAGCAGUGGGGAAUAUUGGACGAGGGGGGAGAGGGUAAUCCAGCCAUACCGCGUGAGUGAAGAACGACUUAGGCUUGUAGAGCCCUUUUGUUGGGAAAGAAGAACAGCAGGUUAAUACGCCGCUGUUCUGACGGUACCCAAAGAAUAAGCACCGGCUAACUUCGUG